rnacentral:rRNA from 1 species
CCUACGGGAGGCAGCAGUGAGGAAUAUUGGUCAAUGGGCGGAAGCCUGAACCAGCCAAGUCGCGUGAGGGAAUAAGGCCCUACGGGUCGUAAACCUCUUUUGCCGGGGAGCAAGGGCGGGGACGUGUCCCGGCCCGGAGAGUACCCGGAGAAAAAGCAGCGGCUAACUCGGUGCCAGCAGCCGCGGUAAUACGGAGGAUGCGAGCGUUAUCCGGAUUUAUUGGGUUGAAAGGGUGCGUAGGCGGGCUUUUAAGUCAGCGGUAAAAAUUCGGGGCUCCACCCCUUCCCGCCAUUGAAACUGGCGUUCUUGAGUGGACGAGAAGUAUGCGGAAUGCGUGGUGUAGCGGUGAAAUGCAUCGCUAUCACGCAGAACCCCGAUUGCGAAGGCAGCAUGCCGGCUUCCGACUGACGCUGCCGCACGAAAGCGUGGGGAUCGAACAGGAUUAGAUACCCUAGUAGUC